rnacentral:rRNA from 1 species
UACGUAGGGUGCAAGCGUUAUCCGGAAUUAUUGGGCGUAAAGAGCUCGUAGGCGGUUUGUCGCGUCUGCUGUGAAAACCCGAGGCUCAACCUCGGGCCUGCAGUGGGUACGGGCAGACUGGAGUGCGGUAGGGGAGAUCGGAAUUCCUGGUGUAGCGGUGAAAUGCGCAGAUAUCAGGAGGAACACCGGUGGCGAAGGCGGGUCUCUGGACAGUUCCUGACGCUGAGGGACGAAAGCUAGGGGAGCAAACGGG